GUUGAAGCACCGGUUCCCGUAAGAUCAGCGACGUAAAGUACUGUCGAGUCUGGUUAGUAUCCAGGUGGGUAACCGCUUGGGAAUACCAGGAACUGUAA